rnacentral:rRNA from 1 species
GACGAACGCUGGCGGCGUGCCUAAUACAUGCAAGUCGAGCGGACGAUUGAAGAGCUUGCUCUUCAAUCGUUAGCGGCGGACGGGUGAGUAACACGUGGGCAACCUGCCUUAACGACUGGGAUAACUCCGGGAAACCGGGGCUAAUACCGGAUAACAUCUAGCACCUCCUGGUUCCAGACUAAAAGAGGGCCUCUGGCUCUCACGUUCAGAGGUGCCCGCGGCGCAUUAGCUAGUUGGAGAGGUAACGGCUCCCCAAGGCGACGAUGCGUAGCCGACCUGAGAGGGUGAUCGGCCACACUGGGACUGAGACACGGCCCAGACUCCUACGGGAGGCAGCAGUAGGGAAUCUUCCGCAAUGGACGAAAGUCUGACGGAGCAACGCCGCGUGAGUGAUGAAGGGUUUCGGCUCGUAAAGCUCUGUUAUGAGGGAAGAACAAGUGCCAUUCAAAUAGGUUGGCACCUUGACGGUACCUCAUCAGAAAGCCACGGCUAACUACGUGCCAGCAGCCGCGGUAA